GACGAACGCUGGCGGCGUGCUUAACACAUGCAAGUCGAACGGAAAGUCCCUGCUUUUGUGGGGUGCUCGAGUGGCGAAAGGGUGAGUAACACGUGAGUAACCUCCCCUUUACUUUGGGAUAACUUCAGGAAACUGGGGCUAAUACCGGAUAGGAGCUCCUGCUGCAUGGUGGGGGUUGGAAAGUUUCGGCGGUUGGGGAUGGACUCGCGGCUUAUCAGCUUGUUGGUGGGGUAGUGGCUUACCAAGGCUUUGCGGGGUAGCCGGCCUGAGAGGGUGACCGGCCACAGUGGGACUGAGAUACGGCCCAGACUGCUACGGGAGGCAGCAGUGGGGAAUAGUGCACGAUGGGCGGAAGCCUGAUGCAGCAACGCCGCGUGCGGGAUGACGGCCUUCGGGUUGUAAACCGCUUUCGACUGUGACGAAGCGUGAGUGACGGUAAUGGGUAAAGAAGCACCGGCUAACUACGUG
rnacentral:rRNA from 1 species